AGGUCGGUGGCAGAUUGGUAUGUGUUAAAUUGUAAACUUAAUAAAGGGGAGUGUUCCUCUCGGCCUA
rnacentral:tRNA from 1 species